rnacentral:misc_RNA from 1 species
UUUCCGUAGGUGAACCUGCGGAAGGAUCAUUAAAGAAUUUGCCCCGUCCUCUCGAGGAUGGGUCCUCUGCUAAACCGUGUAUACAUACCUUUGUUGCUUUGGCGGGCCGCCGUCUCGGCGUUGGCUUCGGCUGACUGUGCCCGCCAGGGAACCCCAACUCUUCUGUUUAGUAUUGUCUGAGUACUAUAUAAUAGUUAAAACUUUCAACAACGGAUCUCUUGGUUCUG